AGUGAACGCUGGCGGUAGGCCUAACACAUGCCAGUCGAACGGCAGCACAGUAAGAGCUUGCUCUUACGGGUGGCGAGUGGCGGACGGGUGAGGAAUACAUCGGAAUCUACUUUUUCGUGGGGGAUAACGUAGGGAAACUUACGCUAAUACCGCAUACGACCUACGGGUGAAAGCAGGGGAUCUUCGGACCUUGCGCGAUUGAAUGAGCCGAUGUCGGAUUAGCUAGUUGGCGGGGUAAAGGCCCACCAAGGCGACGAUCCGUAGCUGGUCUGGUAGGAUGAUCAGCCACACUGGAACUGAGACACGGUCCAGACUCCUACGCGACGCAGCAGUGGGGAAUAUUGGACAAUGGGCGCAAGCCUGAUCCAGCCAUACCGCUUGGGUGAAGAAGGCCUUCGGGUUGUAAAGCCCUUUUGUUGGGAAAGAAAAGCAGCAGGUUAAUACCCCGCUGUUCUGACGGUACCCAAAGAAUAAGCACCGGCUAACUUCGUG
rnacentral:rRNA from 1 species